rnacentral:tRNA from 1 species
GGAGAAGUGUCAGAGUGGCCGAACGUGCGUCCCUGCUAAGGACGUGUACUCGAGAGAGUACCGAGGGUUCAAAUCCCUCCUUCUCCGCCA